GAUGAACGCUAGCGGCAGGCCUAAUACAUGCAAGUCGAGGGGCAUCAGUUCUUUAGCAAUGCGGUUGCUGGCUACGGGCACACGGGUGGGGAGCACGUUGCCAUCUUAUGCGGAACUGGGUUAUAACCCGGGGAUUCCCACACUAUUACACCUUAAUAUGAUUGGUUGUAUUUUGUUUAUUACUAAAGCUACGGCGGUUCGGGCGGGGGGUCCGGCGGCUUAGGUGGUUGGGUGUGGUAACGGCGCACCAAGUCGACGAUCAUUAAACGGUGUGCGAGCACGACCCCCCACACGGGGACUGAGACACGGACCCGACUCCUACGGGAGGCAGCAGUAAGGAAUAUUGGGCAAUGGAGGCAACUCUGAACCAGCCAUGCCGCGUGGAGGAGGACGGCCCUCUGGGUUGUAAACUUCUUUUAUAGAGGAAGAAACCUAUGUAUUCUUGCGUAGUUGACGGUACCCUACGAAUAAGCACCGGCUAACUCCGUG
rnacentral:rRNA from 1 species